rnacentral:rRNA from 1 species
AUACGGAGGGUGCAAGCGUUAAUCGGAAUUACUGGGCGUAAAGCGCGCGUAGGCGGUUAGAUAAGUCGGAUGUGAAAUCCCUGGGCUCAACCUGGGAACUGCAUUCGAUACUGUCUAACUAGAGUAUGGUAGAGGGAAGUGGAAUUCCGGGUGUAGCGGUGAAAUGCGUAGAUAUCCGGAGGAACAUCAGUGGCGAAGGCGACUUCCUGGACCAAUACUGACGCUGAGGUGCGAAAGCGUGGGGAGCAAACAGGAUUAGAAACCCUAGUAGUCC